UUUAGACAAAAGCAAACCUGUGUGAAAACCAGGGGCGCAAAGCCACCGAUCUAAAGCCUCAAAGGCCAUGACAGCGGGGUUGCCUAG
rnacentral:ncRNA from 1 species